rnacentral:rRNA from 2 species
CGAGAAACUUUAGCAAUGUGCGAAAGACACGACAAGGUUAAUCCGAGUGGUUUCUGCUAAAGGAACCUUUUGUCAGUCCUAGAAACACCGAUGAAUAAGGGGUGGGCAAGUUCUGGUGUCAGCCGCCGCGGUAAAACCAGCACCUCAAGUGGUCAGGAUGAUUAUUGGGCCCUAAAAGCAUCCGUAGCCGGCUCUGUAAGUUUUCGGUUAAAUCUGUACGCUCAAACGUACAGGCUGCCGGGAAUACUGCAGAGCUAGGAGUGGGAGAGGUAGACGGUACUCGGUAGGAAGGGGUAAAUCCUUGAUCUAUUGAUGACCACCUGUGGCGAAGGCGGUCUACCAGAACACGUCCGACGGUGAGGGAUGAAAGC